UCCCAUGUGGCUCAGUUGGUAGAGCAUGGUGUUUGCAAUGCCAGGGUUGUGGGUUUGAUUCCCAUGGGGGAC
rfam:Salmo salar isolate Sally breed double haploid chromosome ssa20, whole genome shotgun sequence.